rnacentral:rRNA from 1 species
GAUCCUGGCUCAGGACGAACGCUGGCGGCGUGCCUAAUACAUGCAAGUAGAACGCUGAAGAGAGGAGCUUGCUCUUCUUGGAUGAGUUGCGAACGGGUGAGUAACGCGUAGGUAACCUGCCUGGUAGCGGGGGAUAACUAUUGGAAACGAUAGCUAAUACCGCAUAAAAUGGAUUAUCGCAUGAUAAUCCAUUGAAAGGUGCAAAUGCAUCACUACCAGAUGG